UACGUAGGUGACCAGCGUUGUCCGGAUUUACUGGGCGUAAAGAGCGCGCAGGCGGUCGUUCAAGUCGAGUGUGAAAGCCCCCGGCUCAACUGGGGAGGGUCAUUCGAUACUGAUCGACUCGAAGGCAGGAGAGGGAAGUGGAAUUCCCGGUGUAGUGGUGAAAUGCGUAGAUAUCGGGAGGAACACCUGUGGCGAAGGCGACUUCCUGGCCUGUUCUUGACGCUGAGGCGCGAAAGCUAGGGGAGCAAACGGG
rnacentral:rRNA from 1 species